CAGCCGUAAACUAUGCGCGUUAGGUGUAUCGGUGACCACGAGUUACCGAGGUGCCGAAGGGAAACCGUGAAACGUGCCGCCUGGGAAGUACGGUCGCGAGGCUGAAACUUAAAGGAAUUGGCGGGGGAGCACCACAACAGGUGGAGCCUGCGGUUUAAUUGGACUCAACGCCGGGAAGCUCACCGGAUAGGACAGCAGAAUGAUUGCCGGGCUGAAGACCCUGCAUGACUAGCUGAGAGGUGGUGCAUGGCGUCAGUGACU
rnacentral:rRNA from 1 species